rnacentral:tRNA from 2 species
GGGGCGAUAGCUCAGUUGGUAGAGCACCUGCUUUGCAAGCAGGGGGUCGUCGGUUCGAGUCCGAUUCGCUCCA